CCUAUCAUUUCUUUACCUAGGCGCUUGCCUAAGAUCAAAUUUUUCACCAGAUCCUCUCCCCUAGUAUCUUCAGCACAUGCUCACUGUCCUCCCCAUCCUUGUCCUUCCCAUGUUCAUUAGUUCCUAUUGCCCUGUCCCUAGUCCCAUUUUCACUUCCUUUGACACUCCUAGUAGUUUUAAGUCUUACCUGUAAUUUUUGCUUUUAAUUUUGAUACCUCUUUAUGACUUAAUAAAAAGUAUGGAUGCUUUUUAUCUACUGUCUCCAAAAUAAUCUCUUGUUGUGCAGGGAGUACAGUUCUUUUCAUUCAUAGUUCAGUAGUUGCUUCCCUAACUGCAAAGGCAAGCUCAUUUAGUUGAGUAGCUCCUAAAAGCAGCUUUGAGUCAGAAGUAUGUGUGUUAUACCCCAACAUUAGUGUGCUGUGUGGGGUAGUUCAACAAAAAUGUAACCAUGUAUUUUUGUGAAUGAGAGUUGGCAUGUCAAAUGUAUCCUCUAGAAAAAUAAUUAGUGUUAAAGUCUUAAGAUUUGUUUUCUAAAGUUGAUACUGUGGGUUAUUUUUGUGAACAGCCUGAUGUUUGGGACCUUUUUUCCUCAAAACAAACAAGUCCUUAUUAAACCAGGAAUUUGGAGAAAAAUUAAAAAAAAAAAAGAAAGAAA